GACGAACGCUGGCGGCGUGCCUAAUACAUGCAAGUAGAACGCUGAAGAGAGGAGCUUGCUCUUCUUGGAUGAGUUGCGAACGGGUGAGUAACGCGUAGGUAACCUGCCUUGUAGCGGGGGAUAACUAUUGGAAACGAUAGCUAAUACCGCAUAACAAUGGAUGACACAUGUCAUUUAUUUGAAAGGGGCAAUUGCUCCACUACAAGAUGGACCUGCGUUGUAUUAGCUAGUAGGUGAGGUAAUGGCUCACCUAGGCGACGAUACAUAGCCGACCUGAGAGGGUGAUCGGCCACACUGGGACUGAGACACGGCCCAGACUCCUACGGGAGGCAGCAGUAGGGAAUCUUCGGCAAUGGGGGCAACCCUGACCGAGCAACGCCGCGGGAGUGAAGAAGGUUUUCGGAUCGUAAAGCUCUGUUGUAAGUCAAGAACGGGUGUGAGAGUGGAAAGUUCACACUGUGACGGUAGCCUACCAGAAAGGGACGGCUAACUACGUG
rnacentral:rRNA from 1 species